rnacentral:rRNA from 1 species
GACGAACGCUGGCGGCGUGCCUAAUACAUGCAAGUUGAGCGCUGAAGGUUGGUACUUGAACCAACUGGAUGAGCAGCGAACGGGUGAGUAACGCGUGGGGAAUCUGCCUUUGAGCGGGGGACAACAUUUGGAAACGAAUGCUAAUACCGCAUAAAAACUUUAAACACAAGUUUUAAGUUUGAAAGAUGCAAUUGCAUCACUCAAAGAUGAUCCCGCGUUGUAUUAGCUAGUUGGUGAGGUAAAGGCUCACCAAGGCGAUGAUACAUAGCCGACCUGAGAGGGUGAUCGGCCACAUUGGGACUGGGACACGGCCCAAACUCCUACGGGAGGCAGCAGUAGGGAAUCUUCGGCAAUGGACGAAAGUCUGACCGAGCAACGCCGCGUGAGUGAAGAAGGUUUUCGGAUCGUAAAACUCUGUUGGUAGAGAAGAACGUUGGUGAGAGUGGAAAGCUCAUCAAGUGACGGUAACUACCCAGAAAGGGACGGCUAACUACGUG